rnacentral:sRNA from 1 species
AAUGUAGUUACUGGUGGUCACGAUGAGA